rnacentral:rRNA from 1 species
GGGUGAGUAACGCGUAUCCAACCUGCCCACCACUUGGGGAUAACCUUGCGAAAGUAAGACUAAUACCCAAUGAUAUCUCUAGAAGGCAUCUGAAAGAGAUUAAAGAUUUAUCGGUGAUGGAUGGGGAUGCGUCUGAUUAGCUUGUUGGCGGGGUAACGGCCCACCAAGGCAACGAUCAGUAGGGGUUCUGAGAGGAAGGUCCCCCACAUUGGAACUGAGACACGGUCCAAACUCCUACGGGAGGCAGCAGUGAGGAAUAUUGGUCAAUGGACGAGAGUCUGAACCAGCCAAGUAGCGUGCAGGAUGACGGCCCUAUGGGUUGUAAACUGCUUUUAUAAGGGAAUAAAGUGAGUCUCGUGAGACUUUUUGCAUGUACCUUAUGAAUAAGGACCGGCUAAUUCCAUGCCAGCAGCCGCGGUAAUACGGAAGGUCCGGGCGUUAUCCGGAUUUAUUGGGUUUAAAGGGAGCGUAGGCCGGAGAUUAAGCGUGUUGUGAAAUGUAGAUGCUCAACAUCUGAACUGCAGCGCGAACUGGUUUCCUUGAGUACGCACAAAGUGGGCGGAAUUCGUGGUGUAGCGGUGAAAUGCUUAGAUAUCACGAAGAACUCCGAUUGCGAAGGCAGCUCACUGGAGCGCAACUGACGCUGAAGCUCGAAAGUGCGGGUAUCGAACAGGAUUAGAUACCCUGGUAGUCCGCACGGUAAACGAUGGAUGCCCGCUGUUGGUCUGAAUAGGUCAGCGGCCAAG